UACGGAGGGGGCUAGCGUUGUUCGGAAUUAUUGGGCGUAAAGAGCUCGUAGGCGGUUUGUCGCGUCUGCUGUGAAAACCUAAGGCUCAACCUUGGGCUUGCAGUGGGUACGGGCAGACUAGAGUGUGGUAGGGGAGACUGGAAUUCCUGGUGUAGCGGUGAAAUGCGCAGAUAUCAGGAGGAACACCGAUGGCGAAGGCAGGUCUCUGGGCCAUAACUGACGCUG
rnacentral:rRNA from 1 species